rnacentral:rRNA from 1 species
AUUGAACGCUGGCGGCAUGCUUUACACAUGCAAGUCGAACGGUAACAGGGUGCUUGCACCGCUGACGAGUGGCGAACGGGUGAGUAAUGCGUCGGAACGUGCCGAGUAGUGGGGGAUAACGCAGCGAAAGUUGUGCUAAUACCGCAUACGUACUGAGGUAGAAAGUGGGGGACCUUCGGGCCUCACGCUAUUCGAGCGACCGACGUCUGAUUAGCUAGUAGGUGAGGUAAAGGCUCACCUAGGCGACGAUCAGUAGCGGGUCUGAGAGGAUGAUCCGCCACACUGGGACUGAGACACGGCCCAGACUCCUACGGGAGGCAGCAGUGGGGAAUUUUGGACAGUGGGCGAAAGCCUGAUCCAGCCAUGCCGCGUGUCUGAAGAAGGCCUUCGGGUUGUAAAGGACUUUUGUCGGGGAGGAAAUCCCCAGCGUUAAUACCGCUGGGGGAUGACAGUACCUGAAGAAUAAGCACCGGCUAACUACGUGCCAGCCGCCGCUGUAAAAC